ACAGGCACAAAGGAGAGGCAAGGUGCAAGGUGGAGAAAGGAGAGAAUUGCUGACCUCAGGGUGAGUCAGUGCGGGAAGGGGCAGGAGCGCGGGAUGCCUUGGGUCUCUUGGUUCUUCCAGAUCAUCUUAAAUUGACGGGAGUGACAGCAGCUCUGGGAAACGAAUCUCCUUUCUAUCACCAGAAGAUAUGCAACUCCAGCAUAAGCGUUUUCAUGCCGUUCUGCCAAGUUGACCAUUCACGGCUUCUGCUGUUAAUUUUGGCCAAGACCUUUUCAGAAGAUACUGGAUUUGAGUGCUUGCAUUUUGGACAGUUCAACUGGCAGUAUUUUAAAGAAAGACCAGUUGCAGAUUUGAUCUCUUCUGAGCUCCUUGCAGCAUCUGGACUAUUGGGACUUUGAAUUCUGCAGGCUGCUACCAUUCAUUUCCCAGGAUCGUACCUGCCCUUUUUCUCCUCACUGCCUCCCACGCUCCCCUUCCCUCCGAAAAGACUC
rnacentral:lncRNA from 1 species